rnacentral:rRNA from 1 species
UACAGAGGGGGCAAGCGUUGUUCGGAAUUACUGGGCGUAAAGGGCGCGUAGGCGGCCUUCUAAGUCAGACGUGAAAUCCCUCGGCUCAACCGGGGAACUGCGUCUGAGACUGGAAGGCUUGAAUCCGGGAGAGGGAUGUGGAAUUCCAGGCGUAGCGGUGAAAUGCGUAGAUAUCUGGAGGAACACCGGUGGCGAAGGCGGCAUCCUGGACCGGUAUUGACGCUGAGGCGCGAAAGCCAGGGGAGCAAACGGG